rnacentral:rRNA from 1 species
UACAGAGGUCUCAAGCGUUGUUCGGAUUCAUUGGGCGUAAAGGGUGCGUAGGCGGCGCGGUAAGUCGGGUGUGAAAUCUCGGAGCUUAACUUCGAAACUGCAUUCGAUACUGCCGUGCUUGAGGACUGGAGAGGAGACUGGAAUUUACGGUGUAGCGGUGAAAUGCGUAGAUAUCGUAAGGAAGACCAGUGGCGAAGGCGGGUCUCUGGACAGUUCCUGACGCUGAGGCACGAAGGUCAGGGGAGCAAACGGG